rnacentral:rRNA from 1 species
UACGAAGGGGGCUAGCGUUGCUCGGAAUCACUGGGCGUAAAGCGCACGUAGGCGGAUUGUUAAGUCAGGGGUGAAAUCCUGGAGCUCAACUCCAGAACUGCCUUUGAUACUGGCGAUCUCGAGUCCGGGAGAGGUGAGUGGAACUGCGAGUGUAGAGGUGAAAUUCGUAGAUAUUCGCAAGAACACCAGUGGCGAAGGCGGCUCACUGGACCGGUACUGACGCUGAAGCGCGAAAGCGUGGGGAGCAAACGGG